rnacentral:rRNA from 1 species
CAGUAGCCGCGGGAAUACGGAGGGUGCAAGCGUUAAUCGGAAUUACUGGGCGUAAAGCGCACGCAGGCGGUUUGUUAAGUCAGAUGUGAAAUCCCCGGGCUCAACCUGGGAACUGCAUUUGAAACUGGCAAGCUAGAGUCUCGUAGAGGGGGGUAGAAUUCCAAGUGUAGCGGUGAAAUGCGUAGAGAUCUGGAGGAAUACCGGUGGCGAAGGCGGCCCCCUGGACGAAGACUGACGCUCAGGUGCGAAAGCGUGGGGAGCAAACAGGAUUAGAUACCCCGGUAGUCCCUGUCUCUUAUAC